rnacentral:rRNA from 1 species
CAGUAGCCGCGGGAAUACGUAGGUGGCAAGCGUUGUCCGGAAUUAUUGGGCGUAAAGGGCUCGCAGGCGGUUUCUUAAGUCUGAUGUGAAAGCCCCCGGCUCAACCGGGGAGGGUCAUUGGAAACUGGGAAACUUGAGUGCAGAAGAGGAGAGUGGAAUUCCACGUAUAGCGGUGAAAUGCGUAGAGAUGUGGAGGAACACCAGUGGCGAAGGCGACUCUCUGGUCUGUAACUGACGCUGAGGAGCGAAAGCGUGGGGAGCGAACAGGAUUAGAUACCCCUGUAGUCCCUGUCUCUUAUAC